rnacentral:rRNA from 1 species
AGAGUUUGACAUGGCUCAGGACGAACGCUGGCGGCGUGCUUAACACAUGCAAGUGGAGCGACGAACCGGGCUUCGGCCCGGGGCAAAGCCGCGAACGGGUGAGUAUCACGUGGGUAACCUGCCCCGAUGACCGGGACAACCCGAGGAAACUCGAGCUAAUACCGGAUGUCCUCGCAGCACAUCAGUGCAGCGAGCAAAGGAAGCUUCGGCCUCCGCAUUGGGAUGGGCCCGCGGCCCAUUAGCUUGUUGGUGAGGUAAAAGCUCACCAAGGCGACGAUGGGUAGCUGGUCUGAGAGGACGAUCAGCCACACUGGGACUGAGACACGGCCCAGACUCCUACGGGAGGCAGCAGUGGGGAAUCUUGCGCAAUGCGCGAAAGCGUGACGCAGUAACGCCGCGUGAGGGAAGAAGGCCUUCGGGUUGUAAACCUCUUUCAGGAGGGACGAAGGUUCAGGCGCGAACAGCGUCCUGGACUGACGGUACCUCCAGAAGAAGCCCCGGCUAACUACGUGCCAGCAGCCGCGGUA